UUUUACCAAAGGACCCGAGUUAAUAGUAUUCUUUGAAUUACCCAAACUAGAUGAGUUGAAUUUUUUUUCCUUUGGCUAUUCAGAUAAUAUUAAUUCUCAACUUCACUUUGUGUGUGACGAUGAUUGUUAGAUUUGAAUUAGUUUCAAAUGCUCAGACAGAAAGAAACAAGGGAAAAGAACCCCACCAUACUCACCAAGACAAACCAGAAGCCAUAAUCUCAAUUUUUGAAUAAAAAAUAUUAAAAAAAAAAUCCAUCCAUUGGAAUAAAAACGUUAAGGUUGGCAUGCAGUUGCUUUUCUGAAAUAAUGAAAGGGGGCUAUUGAAAUCUGGUAAGUACAAAGAUCCAUUGUAUCAUUUACAUCUUAAAACUAGUUUUAAACUUGUAGCUUUGAGAACGCUUGCACCAGAUGUGGAGGAAGCCUCAGCUCACUGACCGGGGGCCAUGCCGAUUCUGGGGUCCAGGCUCUGUUCUCCCUGUCUUUCCAGCUUCCUGCUGCCUCAGCCGUCUCCAGGCUGCUCAGUUACUGACCUUGUACCCCCUGGCCGGGCACACAAAUGCCCACGACUACUGGAAACAACUGUGGUCAGUGGACUUUGGCAGGUGGUGUUACCUUUUCCUUACGUGGCACCUCACAGUAUCUAAUGGAGCCGGCUAGCACCCCACUUCUUUGCAAUGAUCCUGUCCAGUAGGUAUGAUAAAGUCCUACUUACAGGGAUAAGAAUCUUAUUGGAAAUGGUGAGAUUGCCAUAAGAAGGACCCAACAUAAGAUCACUGAUUGUAAACGAAUUCAACUUUCUAUGGCCUUGACCGAGCCUUAUCAGCUGAAACCAUGUGGAUCGUCCUCUGGCCAUUCGGGAAGCAGUGCAGCUGCGGUGAGGGAAGCGGUGUGACUGUCCCUGUUCUGAGCCUGUGGCUAUCACACUGCUAACUAUCCUACUGCGAAGCAGCCUUGGGAAAGCCACUUUUAACUUUGUGUUUCAGUUUUCUCUUUUAAGGAAGGUGAAUAAUAAUACCUUACUUAUAGACAUGUUGUAAAACCUAAUUAAAUAUUUCAAAAGUAUUCCUUAAUCCCCAGAUUAAACACACCUAAUAAAGG